UUUUAUUAUUUCUGUUAAUUAAUUUAAUUUUAAAUAAAAUUUAAAAACAAUUUUAACAUUACUAAAUCACAAUGGAUUAAUUUUGUACUUCAUUACUUUAAUUAAUUUUUUAAUAAGAAGAUUUUAGUAUUGUUUAUAUGGAAUCCAUAGAGGCAAUUUUGAGAUCACAUUAAAUAAAAUACAUCAAUAUUAAAUAAAAAUUUGGAAUCCAAAUUUUAUUUUUGUUUUAAAUUUGUCUUUGUUAGUGAUCAGCAGCAAUUUGAAAAUGUCGUUGGGAGAGAAUCCUCGACCGAAACCUAGAUUCGACGAACAAUUCAAAAAGCUGCAAAUUAGCUCAAUGGAAAAGCAGGAGCUGCCCUCAUGGCGGGAUUGUUGUAUCUAUAGGGUACCCAAAACCCUCAGAAAGAUAAAACCAGAAGCCUAUACCCCUCGAUUAAUUUCAUUAGGUCCUCUUAAGACACCGCUUCAGGAAAGAACAGAUGAGCCGCCGGUUCAGGACGAGACUGUUAAGAUGGAAACGGUUAAAUUAAAAUACCUAGAAAAAUUUUAUGAGAGGACUGAGAGAAAUUUAGAAGAACUACUGAAAAUCGUUGAAAAGGAAGAAGAAAGAAUCCGCCGCUGCUAUGAAGAGAUCGACGUGAAAGGUGAUGUUUUUAGGAAGAGAAUUUUAGUAGAUUCUGUGUUCAUCAUUGAGCUUUUCUUGAAGGAAAAACAACCAAAAAAGCACGUAGAUGAUUUUAUAGUGGGUAAACCGUGGCUGAGAACAGCUGUACAAGAGGAUUUGAUAUUACUUGAAAAUCAACUGCCGUAUUUUAUCCUUGACGAACUCUACAAGUAUGCCUUCGCAAAUGCUUCACCCCAAUACCCUACUUUUCAAGAGCUUGUUGAACUUUAUUUCGAAAAUUAUCUUCGUCCGACAAAUGGAAAUUACGAGACUCUCUCAUGCGACUGCUGCUCAUGGUUCUAUUGUUUUUGGUUGAAUAAAUGCCGCUGGUGUCAGAAUUCCAGCAAUCAGAAUCAAGAAGAAACCACUGAGUACAUCCCGCGGCCUUUUCCUCCUCUGCACUUCACAGAUUUGAUUAGAUGGCAACUAUUGCAGAAACAUCCACAUCCUUAUUCCGAGAAUACUCAAAAUGAAAAUCAACAGUCCUCUCCCCAGCAUUGCAUUGAUAUAAUUUCUUCUUGUUGCCAAUCUCGAGGAUCAAAGAAGAAGGUUAAAUAUGUAUUUUCUGCAACCAAACUAAAUGAUGCGGGAGUGACGUUUAAGGCACCUGAAACUGGGUGGCCGCUUGACAUAACAUUUAAAGAUGGAGUGUUAAGCAUGCCAAGCUUGGCAAUCCAGGACAGCACAGAAUGCCUAUUUCGAAACCUCAUGGCUUUCGAACAGUGUCACUAUCCAAGCAAAGCUUAUAUUUGCAAUUACAUUAGAUUCAUCGAUUGUCUUAUCGACACUGAUAAAGAUGUGGACUUCCUCAUUGACAAGGGUAUUCUUGUUAACUGGCUUGGUGAUAGUAAAAUGGUGGCAGAGCUGUUUAAUGAUCUGUGCAAAGAAAUAAUCGAAGAUGAAUUUUGUUUCGAAACAAUCCGGCAAAAGCUGUAUGAUCACUAUGGGAAUUGCUGGUACCGUACCGUGGCAAUCAUGAAACAUGUAUACUUCGGCAAUAUCUUUAGAGGCAGUGGAACGAUUGUCGCCAUCAUGCUCCUCAUCUUCACUUUGAUACAGUCCAUAAAUUCCCUCAUGGAAAUAUUCUAGCUACGUUCAAAGCCUCUAUAUUUUGGAUUGUUUUCCAGUGUUCUGUCUGCCACGAAUUUAAUGAUCUUUCCUUCCUGGGUUUGAACUUUAAUUGUCUGAUUUCUUGUUCUUGAAAUUUUUUUUCCUUAGACUUAAUAACAACAAAAUAAAUAAAAAAAUAAAAAAAUCUCAAUCAGAUUCAAAUUUUCGCUCUCUCAAUUUCCUACUCUAAAAAAAAUGACAAAAUAAAAAUAUUUGCACAUUUUAAAU
rnacentral:misc_RNA from 1 species